rnacentral:lncRNA from 1 species
UACAUUAGUCAAUAACAUAGAGCUAUCAUAUUAUUUUAAUUAGAAGGCGGAUAGAAAGGUUAUCGAACGCAUCGGAACAACAUUCUUAUAUCAUGGGAUAUCAACAUCUUUGUCGACGUUACUUCGUUCCCCGUUUUUUAUCUGUCUCUUCCUAAUUUUUACUUUAUGCAUUUAUACACGCAUGGAUAUUUCAUUGUUAUU